CCUACGGGAGGCAGCAGUGGGGAAUAUUGGACAAUGGGCGAAAGCCUGAUCCAGCCAUGCCGCGUGUGUGAAGAAGGCCUUCGGGUUGUAAAGCACUUUCAGUGGGGAAGAAAGCCUUGGGGCUAAUACCCUCGAGGAAGGACAUCACCCACAGAAGAAGCACCGGCUAACUCCGUGCCAGCAGCCGCGGUAAUACGGAGGGUGCGAGCGUUAAUCGGAAUUACUGGGCGUAAAGCGCGCGUAGGCGGUCUGAUAAGCCGGUUGUGAAAGCCCCGGGCUCAACCUGGGAUCGGCAUCCGGAACUGUCAGGCUAGAGUGCAGGAGAGGAAGGUAGAAUUCCCGGUGUAGCAGUGAAAUGCGUAGAGAUCGGGAGGAAUACCAGUGGCGAAGGCGGCCUUCUGGACUGACACUGACGCUGAGGUGCGAAAGCGUGGGUAGCAAACAGGAUUAGAUACCCUGGUAGUC
rnacentral:rRNA from 1 species